GGCUCUGUGGUGAAGUUCAUAGUGAGUUGCAAGCUCAUUGAUGUGCAUUGAUUAUGUACCAGAGCCU
rnacentral:tRNA from 1 species